CUUGGAAGUUUUUCAGAUGCAGUGCUGGAUCUUUCUGAACUUCUGUAUAACUCAUAAUAUCCAGGAAGAAGUAAUACCCUGUGUAGUGAAGAACUGACUUUACCCAAAGAAGGGUCUAGUCUUUGCCCUUUUCCACAGGGAGAAGACCUCUAGGAUCAUGGGAGGUCAUGCUUGAUAGGACUGUCUUGGUUUUCCUGGAAGCUUUGUCCACUGCAAAGUCUAACAAUGUGAUAUAUGAUGGAGGCAUUGGACACACCAUA